GGGUUGAUGAUGAGAACUCACAUGGUCCUGUAGAGAGUUGAUGACCUAAAUAUCAUGAUCAAUAGGAUUAGGUUGAGAUUU